GACUGAUCAUAUCUGCUCUGCUGUGUCGCAGAUCAAAGGAAAUGAUGUUCUUGAAAGGACUUUUUGAGUGGUGGUAUUUCAGACAGAUGUGUCCCAGGAGCUCGUCCCUGGGGUGAGCAUGUUCCAGGCUCUCAUCUUCUUCCCCAUCUUUUUAUUGUAGAGAAACCUGUGGGGCUGCCCUGGGAUUGAAAAGGUCAACAUCUGGCCUGAGGCUCUAACUCAGCAACAGAGCGCUUAUACCUAGAGUUCACUCCAGAUGGAGUCAACGUGACAACCCAGGAGAGCCAGCCCAGAACUCAUGCCUGGUACUGAGAACAUGGUCAAAGCCCAGGGCUGGGCACGUCACAGAUCUGCCGACUGAUAUCUACUGAUGCGCUGCUAAGAGGUCACGUUGUCAAAAUCUCUUCUAAAUAUUUAGGUUUAUGUUCAUGAAUUUGUGAUGCUUUUAUCUUUGACAGGAAACUUCUUGUUGCGGUGGGGAGUAGUUAAUGCUGGGUCAUCACUUUUCAAAGUGCUGAGAAAACAAAUCAAAACACCAGAUAGAGCUACACCGUAUGUGUAUAUGUGUGUGUGUUGUGUGUGUGUGUAUAUAUAUAUAUACUGCAUAUAUAUAAAACAUUUUAUUGUAAUGCAAUGUAACUUCAAAGGCAUGUUUUAAAACAAUAUUUAAGAAUACAAUGAAACGAACCAUACUGUUACAUAAGAAAAGCAAACUACAGAUCAAACAUGGGUCUCAUAACUAUAAUCCCACCAGUCAGACGAGGCAGAAAAAUCAUAAUUUCAAGGCUAGCCUGGGUAAUAAUGUGCAUUGCAUAUAGUAACAGGGUCAAGACUGUAGCUUGAUGGUAGAGAACCUAGCAAGGGUGAAGGCCUUGGUCCAAAGCCUAGUGUUGCUUUACACACACACACACACACACACACACACACACACACACACACACACUUUUUUAAUUAUAGAAAUUAUUAUUGUACUAUUAACAAAUAAGUACUGAAUACCAAGCUUGAGCCAGAAACUACACAUACUUGUGAAGACAACAGACUCACAACAGUCUAUAUAAAUUUGUACCAACUUAUGUAGAAAGAGAACUACAUGUUAGUUCUUUUCUAUAGUUAAAUAACUAUAUAUUUGAGCUACAUAUGUGCAUGCGUGUACUUUUAUGUAUAUGUAAAUAUACUCAGGGCUGGAUCGAUGUCUCAGCAGUUAAGAGCAUUUGCUGCUCUUGCAGAGUUUGGAUCCCAGUACCACAUCAGACAGCUCACAGCUGCUUUUCCAAUUCCCUCCUCUGGCCUCUGUGGGCACCCACACACAUGUGAUGUACACACAGAUACAGACACAAACACACAAGAUAAAAUAAACCUUAAGUAAGGUUGGGGAGGCUUGCUCUGGAGCCUACUUGGUGUCUACAGAUGGGUGUGGCAGCCUCCCCUGGGGCAAAGCUAGUUUAGUAGCAACUACCUCCCCUUCCCCCAUCCCCCAAAGUGGCACUUCUUCUCCAGCAGCUGUCAACUGCCAAUAGCUCCUCGGUUAGAGGCAUAGCCACUGGAGGCCCUAGCCCUCCACGCUGGAAUCUUUAACUGACUACUAGAUUGUGGGUGGGUAACCACAGCUGUCACCAUUUGUGUAUGCCACAGCUAUGCCAUGGCCAGAGGACCUUGGGUCCCAGCACUCUCCCUGUCCUCUGGCUCUUAUGUCCCCCACCCUUAGUGUUCUGUGGUCCUUACUGAAGAGGGUUGAAAUCUAAGGCUGAGUACUCAGGCAUUUAUUCUCAGGACAGUUUUUGUUUUGGUUUCCCCCUCAAGACAGGGUUUCUCUGUGUAGCCCAGGCUGUCCAGCCACUUAUCAUGUAGCCCAGGAUGUCCUUCAACUCAUGAUCCUUCUGCCUCAGCUUCCCUGGGAUUUUACUCAUAGAAUUUAACCUAAUAAUUCAGAUAAGCAUCCUUACACAAAAAUUAUUUAUGCCCAGAAGGCAGGAUGAGGCCAGAGGAUCACUCUGAGUGGCCUUAAAUAGUAAGACCCUGUUUGGGGAGAGACAGUUUAUAUUCAAUCCUGGACAAAUUGCUAAAAGUAAAAUUUUUAAUUUUUUUAAGUCUUUUUACAUAGUUCGAUCUUGAGCUCAGGAUCCUCAGCUUCCCAUGAGCUUGGGUUUUAGGGGUGAACCCCGACACCUGACCCUUAAAACAAACGUACUCAUUAGAGAUCCUGAACAGCCUGAGAUUUGUGUGGGGGCUGUGGUUUGACCCAGAGAGAUGUGACAGACAGGGAUGAUUCAUAAUAGCGUUCCUGAUUCUCCUCCAUGAUGCAGACAUUUCCCAUCUCCAUUCUCCACACCUGCCCCAACAAAUCUAAAAUAUGCCGGCCUGUCUAGCUGGGGACCCCCUACUCUAGAGUCUAGGAUCUUGACGUCACAGCACAGUGUGACUAGCUUACCAUCAAGGUCAACCCUCUCUCCUCUUUCCUUUAAACAAAACCUUGUUCUUUACAUAACUCAGUGCCCCCAAUCCUCUCAAGUCUCCACCUCU
ensembl:lincRNA Gm37552 predicted gene, 37552